rnacentral:lncRNA from 1 species
UAAAGAUAGAAGCCAAAUGAUCAUACCAGUGAAGCACACUUGUAGACCAUCAAUGUUGUAGAUGGGAGUUUCACUGGUUGUGGCACUGCUAUCAAGCUGGACUGAAAACUGCCGUUUGUACACUGUUGCACCAUAUUGAACAACUUGACAGUUCUAAGUAGAGAUUUCUUUGUGGAGCUGAAAUAUCGUAAUAGAGCUGUUGCUGAAAAGGCUAUGAAGUUCUUAAACAGGACCUGCCUGGAUGAUCUUAUCAUUUGCACAGAUUCGGGGAGCCAAGAAGCAAUGCUCAGAGUGAGGACCAGAGCUCCCUCAAAAAGAACCAAAGCCAUUCUCAGUGCCUACAAGGUCCCAAGCUCCUCAGAGGAUGAAAACAGCCAAGUUCAUCAGGAAAGCCAGCAUAACAAGCUCCUCCAAGAGAACCAACAGCUCCUUACAACUUCUGUCCACUUCCAGCGGGUUCCCAACAGCUUCUACCAGCUCGCAACAGUCUCUCUUCUUCUCCAGUUCUGCCUCCUAUGCUGGCAACAGUCCUCAGGUGGGCCUCCCACACCCAGCACCAUGCUUACUCCAUUCAGCUGGGUGUUACAAGUUGACCACCAGUUAUCAAUCCACUACACCCACCUUCCAAAUACCUUCAUUUUAGUGGAUCUUUCCUGAACUUCUCCAGUGCAGCUUCUCCUCUAGUCAUCCAUGAUGAAUCUCUAUAUCUUCUUUGAGACCACUGAGCAUUUUAUUGACCUGUUUUGUGUCUCCUCUUUUAACAUUUUCAAUAAUUCAGCACUGUGGCUUUUGAUUUCCUCUCUUGUAGUGAUCAUGGCUUGGUAUGGGGAAGUUGGGAAUUUUGGGAGGUAUUUUGUUGCCUUGUGCUUUGUCUUCUCAUGUUUAUAUUUAUUUUUUGCACUGAGGUUUAUGGGUUGAUUAUAGUGGAAAGACUUUGUUGCUAGUAUGGAAACUUCUUAGUGUCUGCUUUUCAGUGAUGCACUCUGAGCAUGGCUAACUAUAGGCCCUUGCCUGUAUCACAUCUAACUACCUCCAUUAUGUAGUGUAAUUGGUCCAGCAGAACCCUGUUCUCUGGGAAUGGCUCAUAAUAUUGUUAUUGACACAAAGGCAAUCCUGACGCUGGCAUAUGGAGAAAACCAAUUAAUAACAACAAUUAUGCCACCCUGUCAGUAGCAACAAAGUCAGCAAUAAUGGUAGCACCAAAGGCAAAUUGCAUAUUGACUGUCAUAAAAACCAAUAAUGUACCACAUUUAACCAUACAAAAGAGAUCUAAGGUUAUAGUGUAAACAAUAAGACAAACCAAAUACUGACACAUAAUAAAUAUCUACUAAAUGCGGCAAUUCUACUACCACUAAAAAUAGAAAAAACUCAACAGUAAUAGCAUACAGUUAAUUAUUUAAAGAUUAAUAAAAUUAAUGGUUAUAGUAGCAAAAAUAGAGGUGUGGGAAAUAGGUAAAUAAACAAAUUAAAAUUUGACAAAUUAGGCAAUGGAAGAUGAGAAGGAGGAGAGAAAAGUGAGAUCAAGGAUUGUAUUAGUGAGUAAAAGGAAAUUAAUCAUAUAAAAGCAACAGAAAAGAACAAACAAGAAAAAGAAUAAAAAACAGAAUAAGAUAGAGAAAAAAUACUUAAAAAAAGAAAAAAAGAAAAAGAUCAAACCCUUCAAACCCAAUUAAGAAAAAAAUGAGCCCCCAAACCAUUAUUCUGUAUUUUUUGAAUAAGUGAUUUCUUUCCAAGAUUUGCAGUCUUUGAAUCCAGGAAAUCAAGGUUUUCUCCACCAAGUUUACAGCAUGUGGUUCUGUGAGUUGCUCCCAUGCUCCAGAGCAUCCUCUGUCAGUAUACUCCAGACUGUGGCAACCACUCAAGGUGAAGCAUGACCCUUCUCAUCUUGGGAGAUUGAGAAAAUUAAUCAGAUUGCUGAUUUCUGUGUUGUAUAUAGGCAGUGGGGGAGGUGAUCAAGCAGACUGCUGAACUUAAUGCCAACACUUUCCAUCCUAGCCACCUCUGAAAUCUAUACAACUAAGCGUGGCUUUUCAGCAUAAAAGGCAGGGCCCUGUGUUCUUCCCAGCCUUAAUUUAAACUUUAUGGGGUGUCCUGGUCUAGCCCAUGCCCUCUCCAGCCAUCUCUUAUGGCUGUCUCUCUUCUAGUUACUGUGGUAAGGUAACACGAGGAACCCUGAGGUGAAGUUGUUUUAUGCAUCAGUUUUAAUUUUUUUGUUAUUAUGGAUUACAGUACUAUGACUAUUCAUGUAUAAGAUUUUGUGUGGAUAUACAUUUUUAUUUCUUGUAGGUAUAUAUCUAAAGACUAGAAUCCUGGGUCUGAUGGUCCUCCAUGUUUAACUUUAUAAGGACCUUCCAGAAUGUUUUAAAGUGCUCUGUCACUUUACAUUCCCAUCAUCUGUAUAUGAAAUUUCCAAUUUUUCUUCAACCAUAGUGUUAUGGUCUAUAUAUAGAUGUCCCCCUAAAGCCUUAUGUGGUCAUUAGUGGGGCUUUUUGGAGGUGGCUGGAUCUAGAGUGUGUAAUGCUGGCAUGAAAGAUAUGACACUGGGAUUGAUUAAUGGUGUGAUGCUAGGAUUAAGGGUGCCCAACCCUGGGUAUGAGUGCUACCUGCCUUAAGAUUGGGAAGCAUGGAUAGAAUAUAAGGGACAAAAUGAGGAUCACUGCUUGUCACUUGUUUUUUGCUGCGUUUGCUGCCUUCUGUCUACCAUGAACUGUUUCUCCUCUGUGAUGUCCCUCUGCCAUCAGACCCUGCCUUGGAACCAGCCAGCUAUGAACUGAAACCUCUACAAACUUUGAGCUAAAUAAAUUUUUUCUCCUUUAACUUUCGGUGUUGAGUAUUUUGUCUCAGCAGUGAGAAAAAGUAACAAGAUUUUUCUAAAGACAUGCACCAACACUUACUAUUAUCUGACUCUUUAUUUUACAAACAUCCAAUGUGUGAAGUAGUAUUUGAUUUACAUUUACCUGGUGGUUGAUGAUGGUGAAUAUGUUUUAUGUCCUUAUUAACUGUCUGCAUUUUUUCUUUAGAGAAAUACCUAUUUAAAUCCUUUGCCCAUGUGUAAAAUUGGUUUGCCUUGUGUCAUUGAGUUGUAGUAGUUCUUAACAGAGUCUAGAUACAAGUCCAUUAUCAGACAUGAUUUGCCAAAUUUCUCUCCCAUUUUGUGGGUUGUCUUUGUACUUCCUUGAUGAUAUCCUUUGAAGAUUUUUAAUUUUGGUAAUAUCCAAGUUACUAUUUUUUCCUUUGGCUGUUUGUGCUUUUGGUGUCAUAUCUAAGAAAAUAUUGUAUAAUUCAUAAUCUUGAAAAUUUAUGCAUAUGCUUUCUCCCAAGAAUUUUGUAGUUUUAACGCUUACAUUUAGGUCUUUGAUCCAUUUUAAGUUAAUAUAUUAUAUAUACAGUAUGAGGUAGAGGUUUAACUCUCUUCUCUCUCUAUCUGUAUCUAUCUAUCCAUCUAUAUCUAUCUACCUAUCUAUCUAUCUAUAUGUAUAUAUCCAAUUUCC